rnacentral:rRNA from 1 species
CUGGAAUCGCUAGUAAUCGCGGAUCAGCACGCCGCGGUGAAUACGUUCCCGGGCCUUGUACACACCGCCCGUCACACCAUGGAAGUCUGCAAUGCCCGAAGCCGGUGGCCUAACCACUUGUGUGGAAGGAGCCGUCUAAGGCAGGGCAGAUGACUGGGGUGAAGUCGUAACAAGGUACC